rnacentral:rRNA from 1 species
CCUACGGGAGGCAGCAGUGGGGAAUCUUGCACAAUGGGCGCAAGCCUGAUGCAGCGACGCCGCGUGGGGGAUGAAGGCCCUCGGGUUGUAAACCCCUUUCGACGGGGAAGAAGCGAAAGUGACGGUACCCGUAGAAGAAGCCCCGGCUAACUACGUGCCAGCAGCCGCGGUAAU